rnacentral:rRNA from 1 species
AUGACGGAGACCACCGACAAGUUGCAGAGCCUGCUCGAGUCGGUGAUUCGCCGGCUGGACGCGAAUCAGAAGACCGCGGACGAACGCCACCAGGCGCAGCUCUCCUACAAUGACCACGUCUCCACAGAGCUCAAGCAUCUCGCAAAACAGAUCGACCUCACCCAGGCCGAUGUGGACGAGGCCUGCAAGAGCGCGCCGUUGCCGGAUCCAGUGGCCAUGGGCACCACCGAAGCGCGGUCUCCCUCGGGGACUGCGGGCUCGACAGCUCAGGUGCCACCACCACCUCGCCCAGCGCCGACCCACCUCUACACAGAGGGCACUUCGCAGCUUCCAUUCGCUCGCCUGGUCAACCAUGGGCCACCGCUGCUCACCGGGGCGCCCUCACCAACAGAGCACGGCCGCUACAACGACACCUUCACCAAACCACCCAAGCAUGACUUUCCUCGCUUCGACGGCACCACCCCGCGCAUCUGGCUCGAGCGCUGCACGCACUAUUUCGAGCUCUACCGCGUGCCAGUGCACAAUUGGGUCACCACUGCCGUGCUCUACAUGGAGGGUCUAGCUGCGAUGUGGUUGCAAGCUUACAAAGAGAAGCAUCCGAACAUCACCUGGGCAACAUUCAGAGCCGCUGUGGAAGAGGAAUUUGGACCAGAGGAGUUUGAAGUGCAGAUGCACGCGUUGGUUCAGUUAAGACAGACCAGUACAUUUCAGGAAUAUCGCCAGGAAUUCGAGACAGCCAUGUAUCACUUGCUUUCCUUGGAUCCCACUUUGAGCUCGAAGUUUUUCAUCUCUUAG